rnacentral:rRNA from 1 species
UACGUAGGGAGCGAGCGUUAAUCGGAAUUACUGGGCGUAAAGCGUGCGCAGGCGGCUCAUUAAGACAGGCGUGAAAUCCCCGGGCUUAACCUGGGAACUGCGCUUGUGACUGGUGGGCUGGAGUGUGUCAGAGGGAGGUGGAAUUCCACGUGUAGCAGUGAAAUGCGUAGAGAUGUGGAGGAACACCGAUGGCGAAGGCAGCCUCCUGGGACAACACUGACGCUCAUGCACGAAAGCGUGGGGAGCAAACAGG